rnacentral:lncRNA from 1 species
GGGUCUUCAUAUUAUUUCUUUGUCAUAUUCUAAGUUAAACGGGAAUUCUUAAACGGUGACUUAAAAUGUGUCACUGUGCUAAAUUAAAACCUUUUUCGAUAUUUUGAAAAGUUACACUUCGCUUUUAUCUCGUUGCAGACCAUCGCUAAAGAGCACCUCGAUUACUGGAAAUUAAGAGGACGCCGUCAUGCGCGGAGGAUGCUACAAUAACAAUGAGCCGAAAAUACCGCAGACAUAAGUGACAGGAACGAAAAUAAUACCGAAGUGCUGCUUAUUCGUCCUCGGGCGUAAUAAACUUCGCCCGAUGAUUAUGGGCCCUUUGAAAAUAAACUCUGAACUCUCGCAACUCUCUUUUAUUUUUGUUUAGUUUACUUUCCAUCCCCGGGCUAUGAAUAUCGUCGUUAUUCUUUGCAAGUUCUUUGUAAGUUCUUUUAGUUGCUUUUCUAUUGAUACUUUUGUGUUUUAAGAUGUGG